UUAUUGGCGGUGUGGGUGUGGCCAGGACAGGGUGUGGUCAUCGUGGGCGUGUCCUGAGUGCCCCACCCCUUCCCUCUGUCCCCUCAGCUGCGCCUUCGUCACCUACGAGAAGAUGGAGUCGGCCGACCAGGCCAUGGCCGAGCUGAACGGGGCCGUGGUCCAGGACGUGCAGCUCAAGGUCAGCAUCGCCCGCAAGCAGCCCAUGCUGGACGCCGCCACCGGGAAGUCGCUCUGGGGGUCCCUGGCCGUGAAGAACAGCGCCAAGGGCUCGCACCGGGACAAGCGCUCGCAGGUGGUGUACAACGAGGACCUGUUCGGGGGACAAUAAAGGACGGCACGGACA